CGCUCGCCUUCCUCCGAUUUGCCGACGUACUCUCUUUUAAAAAAUACUCGUAUAAGGGGCUCGAAGCGUAGGAUAUCUAUUCUCUCCAUGUAAAACAGUGAAAAUGUUCACUAUUUUGACACCAAAAUUCGGAUUAACUUUUAGAACAGUGAAACUCUAACAUAAAUACUAUUUUGUCAAGUGAAAAUUUCACUUAUGAAUAACAGGGAAAAAAUGAGAGGAAUGAUCCUAAAACUGAAACUCUUAAACCCACAUACCCCAAUAAAACCCCCUGCAGCAAACUUUAAUAGGAAAAAAAUUUUUGUUAAUACGUUUGAACCUUGGGGGAAAGCAAGGGCAAGAAUAUAAUAUUUAUUAAGGAAAUUCUCUCGAAACUGAUCCCUAGCCAGGAGAAAGUAAGAUUACGAAUCGCAAAUAGAUGAUGUCCAGAGGGUUGUCAAUAUCGGGGUUCAGGGCCCGCAUAUAAAAAUGCAUUUUUCGUCGAUAUCUCGCAAACGAAGGCUUUUCGUGAAAAACGGACGAAAUUUUCGCCCCAUGCAUGGGGCUUGAACAUCGAAUUUCCGACGUAUUCUCUUUUUAAAAAUACUCGGUAUAAGGAGUCUCAGAGCGUGGGGUAGCUAGAUUUAAGAAUUUUCGUUUUGGAACUAUGCUCCCUGCACUCGCUCGCCUACCUCCGACUUGCCGACGUACUCUCUUUGUGAAAAGACUCGUAUAAGGAGUCUCAGAGCGUAGGGUAGUUAGAUUUAUGAAUUUUUGAUUUGGAGCCUUAAUAUUUGCUCUCUCUUGCCUUCCCCGGUUAUCCGGCGUAUUAAAAAAAAAAAGAAAAUUCUCGUAUAAGUAGUCUCUGUGGGGUAGCUAGAUAUGAGAAUUUCCAUUUAAAGCUCUGCUUCCCGCUCUCGCUUGCCUUCCUUCGAUUUGCCAAUGUACUAUAUUUUUAAGAAACUUACUUGUAAGGAAUCUCAGAGCGUAGGCUAAUUAGAUUGAAGAGUUUUGGUUUUGGAGCCUUAUUAUUUGCUCUCUCUUGCCUUCGUCCGGUUAUCCGACGUAUUAAAAAAAAAAAAGAAAAUUCUCGUAUAAGGAGUCUUGGAGCGUGGGGUAGCUAGAUUUAAGAAUUUUCGUUUUGGAGGCUCGCUCUAGCACCCUUUCCUCCGAUUUGCCGACAAACUUUCUUUUUAAAAAUACCCGGUAUAAGGAGUCUCAGAGCGUAGGGUAGCUUGAUUUAAGAGUUUUUAUUUUAGAGCUAUCAUACUUGCUCUCGAUCGGCAUCAUCCGAUUUGCAGACGUACUCUCUUUUUAAGAAACUUACUUGUAAGGAAUCUCAGAGCGUAGAGUAGUUAGAUUGAAGAGUUUUUGUUUUGGAGCUUUAUUAUUUGCCCUCUCUUGCCAUCGUCCGGAUAUCCGACGUAUCAAAAAACAAAAGAAAAUUCUCGUAUAAGGAGUCUUGGAGCGUGGGGUAGCUAGAUUUAAGAAUUUUCGUUUUAGAGGCUCGCUCUAGCACGCUUUGUUCCCAUUUGCCGACAAACUUUCUUUUUAAAAAUACCCAGUAUAAGGAGUCUCACAGCGCAGGGUAGCAAGAUUUAAGAAUUUUCGUUUUGGAUCUAUGCUCCCUGCACUCGCUCGCCUACCUCCGACUUGCCGACGUACUCUCUUUUUGAAAAGACUCGUAUAAGGAGUCUCAGAGCGUAGGGUACUUAGAUUUCAGAAUUUUCGUUUUGGAGACUCGCUCUAGCUCGCCUUCCUUUGGUUUGACGACGUACUUUCUUUUAAAUAAUACUCGGUAUAAGGAAUCUCAGAGCGUAGAGUAGUUAGAUUGAAGAGUUUUUGUUUUGGAGCUUUAUUAUUUGCUCUCUCUUGCCUUCGUCCGGUUAUCUGACGUAUUAAAAAAAAAAAAGAAAAUUCUCGUAUAAGGAGUCUUGGAGCGAAGGGUACCUAAAUUUUAGGUUUUUCCUUUUAGAUGAUCGGUCUAGCUCCCCUUCCUCCGGUUUGCUGACGUAUUGAAACAAAAAUAAUUCUCGUAUAAGUAGUCUCUGUGGGGUAGCUAGAUAUGAGAAUUUCCAUUUAAAGCUCUGCUUCCCGCUCUCGCUUGCCUUCCUUCGAUUUGCCAAUGUACUAUAUUUUUAAGAAACUUACUUGUAAGGAAUCUCAGAGCGUAGGCUAAUUAGAUUGAAGAGUUUUGGUUUUGGAGCCUUAUUAUUUGCUCUCUCUUGCCUUCAUCCGGUUAUCCGACGUAUUAAAAAAAAAAAGAAAAUUCUCGUAUAAGGAGUCUUGGAGCGUGGGGUAGCUAGAUUUAAGAAUUUUCGUUUUGGAGGCUCGCUCUAGCACGCUUUGUUCCCAUUUGCCGACAAACUUUCUUUUUAAAAAUACCCGGUAUAAGGAGUCUCAGAGCGUAGGGUAGCUUGAUUUAAGAGUUUUUGUUUUAGGGCUAUCAUACUUGCUCUCGAUCGGCAUCCUCCGAUUUGCCGACGUACUCUCUUUUUACGAAACUUACUUGUAAGGAAUCUCAGAGCGUAGAGUAGUUAGAUUGAAGAGUUUUUAUUUUGGAGCUUUAUUAUUUGCCCUCUCUUGCCAUCGUCCGGAUAUCCGACGUAUCAAAAAACAAAAGAAAAUUCUCGUAUAAGGAGUCUUGGAGCGUGGGGUAGCUAGAUUUAAGAAUUUUCGUUUUAGAGGCUCGCUCUAGCACGCUUUGUUCCCAUUUGCCGACAAACUUUCUUUUUAAAAAUACCCAGUAUAAGGAGUCUCACAGCGCAGGGUAGCAAGAUUUAAGAAUUUUCGUUUUGGAACUAUGCUCCCUGCACUCGCUCGCCUACCUCCGACUUGCCGACGUACUCUCUUUUUGAAAAGACUCGUAUAAGGAGUCUCAGAGCGUAGGGUAGUUAGAUUUCAGAAUUUUCGUUUUGGAGACUCGCUCUAGCUCGCCUUCCUUUGGUUUGACGACGUACUUUCUUUUAAAUAAUACUCGGUAUAAGGAAUCUCAGAGCGUAGAGUAGUUAGAUUGAAGAGUUUUCGUUUUGGAGCUUUAUUAUUUGCUCUCUCUUGCCAUCGUCCGGUUAUUCGACGUAUUAAAAAAAAAGAAAAUUCUCGUAUAAGAAGUCUUGGAGCGUGAGGUAGCUAGAUUUAAGAAUUUUCGUUUUAGAUGAUCGGUCUAGCUCGCCUUCCUCCGGUUUGCUGACGUAUUGAAACAAAAAAUUCUCGUAUAAGUUGUCUCUGUGGGGUAGCUAGAUAUGAGAAUUUCCAUUUAAAGCUCUGCUUCCCGCUCUAGUUUGCCUUCCUUCGAUUUCCCAACGUACUCUGUUUUUAAGAAACUUACUUGUAACGAAUCUCAGAGCGUAGGGUAAUUAGAUUGAAGAGUUUUUGUUUUAGAGCUUUAUUAUUUGCUCUCUCUUCCCUUCGUCCGGUUAUCCGACGUAUUAAAAAAAAAAAAAAAGAAAAUUCUCGUAUAAGGAGUCUCAGAGCGUGGGGUAGCUAGAUUUAAGAAUUUUCGUUUUGGAACUAUGCUCCCGGCACUCGCUCGCCACCUCCGACUUGCCGACGUACUCUCUUUUUGAAAAGACUCGUAUGAGGAGUCUCAGAGCGUAGGGUAGUUAGAUUUAUGAAUUUUUGAUUUGGAGCCUUAAUAUUUGCUCUCUCUUGCCUUCGUCCGGUUAUCCGACGUAUUAAAAAAAAAAAAAAAAGAAAAUUCUCGUAUAAGGAGUCUCAGAGCGUGGGGUAGCUAGAUUUAAGAAUUUUCGUUUUGGAACUAUGCUCCCUGCACUCGCUCGCCUACCUCCGACUUGCCGACGUACUCUCUUUUUAAAAAUACUCGUAUAAGGAGUCUCGGAGCGUAGGGUACCAAAAUUUUAGGGUUUUCGUUUUAGAUGAUCGGUCUAGCUCGCCAUCCUCCGGUUUGCUGACGUAUUGAAACAAAAAAAUUCUCGUAUAAGUAGUCUCUGUGGGGUAGCUAGAUAUGAGAAUUUCCAUUUAAAGCUCUGCUUCCCGCUCUCAUUUGCCUUCCUUAGAUUUGCGAAUGUACUAUAUUUUUAAAAAACUUACUUGUAAGGAGUCUCAGAGCGUAGGGUAGUUGGAUUUAUGAAUUUUUGUUUUGGAGCCUUAAUAUUUGCUCUCUCUUGCCUUCCUCCGGUUAUCAGCGUAUUAGAAAAAAAAAAAAGAAAAUUCUCGUAUAAGGAGUCUUGGAGCGUGGGGUAGCUAGAUUUAAGAAUUUUCGUUUUGGAGGCUCGCUCUAGCACGCUUUGUUCCCAUUUGCCGACAAACUUUCUUUUUAAAAAUACCCGGUAUAAGGAGUCUCAGAGCGUAGGGUAGCUUGAUUUAAGAGUUUUUGUUUUAGGGCUAUCAUACUUGCUCUCGAUCGGCAUCCUCCGAUUUGCCGACGUACUCUCUUUUUACGAAACUUACUUGUAAGGAAUCUCAGAGCGUAGAGUAGUUAGAUUGAAGAGUUUUUAUUUUGGAGCUUUAUUAUUUGCCCUCUCUUGCCAUCGUCCGGAUAUCCGACGUAUCAAAAAACAAAAGAAAAUUCUCGUAUAAGGAGUCUUGGAGCGUGGGGUAGCUAGAUUUAAGAAUUUUCGUUUUAGAGGCUCGCUCUAGCACGCUUUGUUCCCAUUUGCCGACAAACUUUCUUUUUAAAAAUACCCAGUAUAAGGAGUCUCACAGCGCAGGGUAGCAAGAUUUAAGAAUUUUCGUUUUGGAACUAUGCUCCCUGCACUCGCUCGCCUACCUCCGACUUGCCGACAUACUCUCUUUUUGAAAAGACUCGUAUAAGGAGUCUCAGAGCGUAGGGUAGUUAGAUUUCAGAAUUUUCGUUUUGGAGACUCGCUCUAGCUCGCCUUCCUUUGGUUUGACGACGUACUUUCUUUUAAAUAAUACUCGGUAUAAGGAAUCUCAGAGCGUAGAGUAGUUAGAUUGAAGAGUUUUCGUUUUGGAGCUUUAUUAUUUGCUCUCUCUUGCCAUCGUCCGGUUAUUCGACGUAUUAAAAAAAAAGAAAAUUCUCGUAUAAGAAGUCUUGGAGCGUGAGGUAGCUAGAUUUAAGAAUUUUCGUUUUAGAUGAUCGGUCUAGCUCGCCUUCCUCCGGUUUGCUGACGUAUUGAAACAAAAAAAUUCUCGUAUAAGUUGUCUCUGUGGGGUAGCUAGAUAUGAGAAUUUCCAUUUAAAGCUCUGCUUCCCGCUCUAGUUUGCCUUCCUUCGAUUUCCCAACGUACUCUGUUUUUAAGAAACUUACUUGUAACGAAUCUCAGAGCGUAGGGUAAUUAGAUUGAAGAGUUUUUGUUUUAGAGCUUUAUUAUUUGCUCUCUCUUCCCUUCGUCCGGUUAUCCGACGUAUUAAAAAAAAAAAAAAAAAGAAAAUUCUCGUAUAAGGAGUCUCAGAGCGUGGGGUAGCUAGAUUUAAGAAUUUUCGUUUUGGAACUAUGCUCCCGGCACUCGCUCGCCACCUCCGACUUGCCGACGUACUCUCUUUUUGAAAAGACUCGUAUAAGGAGUCUCAGAGCGUGGGGUAGCUAGAUUUAUGAAUUUUCGUUUUGGAGGCUCGCUCUAGCACCCUUUCCUCCGAUUUGCCGACAAACUUUCUUUUUAAAAAUACCCGGUAUAAGGAGUCUCAGAGCGUAGGGUAGCUUGAUUUAAGAGUUUUUAUUUUAGAGCUAUCAUACUUGCUCUCGAUCGGCAUCAUCCGAUUUGCAGACGUACUCUCUUUUUAAGAAACUUACUUGUAAGGAAUCUCAGAGCGUAGAGUAGUUAGAUUGAAGAGUUUUUAUUUUGGAGCUUUAUUAUUUGCCCUCUCUUGCCAUCGUCCGGAUAUCCGACGUAUCAAAAAACAAAAGAAAAUUCUCGUAUAAGGAGUCUUGGAGCGUGGGGUAGCUAGAUUUAAGAAUUUUCGUUUUAGAGGCUCGCUCUAGCACGCUUUGUUCCCAUUUGCCGACAAACUUUCUUUUUAAAAAUACCCAGUAUAAGGAGUCUCACAGCGCAGGGUAGCAAGAUUUAAGAAUUUUCGUUUUGGAACUAUGCUCCCUGCACUCGCUCGCCUACCUCCGACUUGCCGACGUACUCUCUUUUUGAAAAGACUCGUAUAAGGAGUCUCAGAGCGUAGGGUAGUUAGAUUUCAGAAUUUUCGUUUUGGAGACUCGCUCUAGCUCGCCUUCCUUUGGUUUGACGACGUACUUUCUUUUAAAUAAUACUCGGUAUAAGGAAUCUCAGAGCGUAGAGUAGUUAGAUUGAAGAGUUUUUGUUUUGGAGCUUUAUUAUUUGCUCUCUCUUGCCUUCGUCCGGUUAUCUGACGUAUUAAAAAAAAAAGAAAAUUCUCGUAUAAGGAGUCUUGGAGCGAAGGGUACCUAAAUUUUAGGUUUUUCGUUAUAGAUGAUCGGUCUAGCUCGCCUUCCUCCGGUUUGCUGACGUAUUGAAACAAAAAAAUUCUCGUAUAAGUAGUCUCUGUGGGGUAGCUAGAUAUGAGAAUUUCCAUUUAAAGCUCUGCUUCCCGCUCUAGUUUGCCUUCCUUCGAUUUCCCAACGUACUCUGUUUUUAAGAAACUUACUUGUAAGGAAUCUCAGAGCGUAGGGUAAUUAGAUUGAAGAGUUUUUGUUUUAGAGCUUUAUUAUUUGCUCUCUCUUCCCUUCGUCCGGUUAUCCGACGUAUUAAAAAAAAAAAAAAAAAGAAAAUUCUCGUAUAAGGAGUCUCAGAGCGUGAGGUAGCUAGAUAUGAGAAUUUCCAUUUAAAGCUCUGCUUCCCGCUCUCGCUUGCCUUCCUUCGAUUUGCCAAUGUACUAUAUUUUUAAGAAACUUACUUGUAAGGAGUCUCAGAGCGUAGGGUAGUUGGAUUUAUGAAUUUUUGUUUUGGAGCCUUAAUAUUUGCUCUCUCUUGCCUUCCUCCGGUUAUCAGCGUAUUAGAAAAAAAAAAAAGAAAAUUCUCGUAUAAGGAGUCUUGGAGCGUGGGGUAGCUAGAUUUAAGAAUUUUCGUUUUGGAGGCUCGCUCUAGCACGCUUUGUUCCCAUUUGCCGACAAACUUUCUUUUUAAAAAUACCCGGUAUAAGGAGUCUCAGAGCGUAGGGUAGCUUGAUUUAAGAGUUUUUGUUUUAGGGCUAUCAUACUUGCUCUCGAUCGGCAUCCUCCGAUUUGCCGACGUACUCUCUUUUUAAGAAACUUACUUGUAAGGAAUCUCAGAGCGUAGGCUAAUUAGAUUGAAGAGUUUUGGUUUUGGAGCCUUAUUAUUUGCUCUCUCUUGCCUUCGUCCGGUUAUCCGACGUAUUAAAAAAAAAAAAAGAAAAUUCUCGUAUAAGGAGUCUUGGAGCGUGGGGUAGCUAGAUUUAAGAAUUUUCGUUUUGGAGGCUCGCUCUAGCACCCUUUCCUCCGAUUUGCCGACAAACUUUCUUUUUAAAAAUACCCGGUAUAAGGAGUCCCAGAGCGUUGGGUAGCUUGAUUUAAGAGUUUUUGUUUUAGAGCUAUCAUACUUCCAUUUAAAGCUCUGCUUCCCGCUCUCGCUUGCCUUCCUUAGAUUUGCGAAUGAACUAUAUUUUUAAAAAACUUACUUGUAACGAAUCUCAGAGCGUAGGCUCAUUAGAUUGAAGAGUUUUUGUUUUGGAGCUUUAUUAUUUGCUCUCUCUUGCCAUCCUCCGGUUAUUCGACGUAUUAAAAAAAAAGAAAAUUCUCGUAUAAGGAGUCUUGGAGCGUGGGGUAGAUAGAUUAAAGAAUUUUCGUUUUGGAGGCUCGCUUUAGCACCCUUUCCUCCCAUUUGCCGACAAACUUUCUUUUUAAAAAUACCCGGUAUAAGGAGUCUCAGAGCGCAGGGUAGUUAGAUUUAUGAAUUUUUGUUUUAGAGCCUUAAUAUUUGCUCUCUCUUGCCAUCGUCCGGUUAUCCGACGUAUUAAAAAAAAAAAGAAAAUUCUCGUAUAAGGAGCCUUGGAGCGUAGGGUACCGAAAUUUUAGGUUUUUCGUUUUAGAUGAUCGGUCUAGCUCGCCUUCCUCCGGUUUGCUGACGUAUUGAAACAAAAAAAUUCUCGUAUAAGUUGUCUCUGUGGGGUAGCUAGAUAUGAGAAUUUCGAUUUAAAGCUCUGCUUCCCGCUCUCUCUUGCCUUCCUUCGAUUUGCCAAUGUACUAUAUUUUUAAGAAACUUACUUGUAACGAAUCUCAGAGCGUAGGCUCAUUAGAUUGAAGAGUUUUUGUUUUGGAGCUUUAUUAUUUGCUCUCUCUUGCCAUCCUCCGGUUAUUCGACGUAUUAAAAAAAAAGAAAAUUCUCGUAUAAGGAGUCUUGGAGCGUGGGGUAGCUAGAUUUAAGAAUUUUCGUUUUGGAGGCUCGCUCUAGCACGCUUUCCUCCGAUUUGCCGACGUACUCUCUUUUUAAAAAUACUCGUAUAAGGAGUCUCGGAGCGUAGGGUACCUAAAUUUUAGGUUUUUCGUUUUAGAUGAUCGGUCUAGCUCGCCUUCCUCCGGUUUGCUGACAUAUUGAAACAAAAAAAAUUCUCGUAUAAGUAGUCUCUGUGGGGUAGCUAUAUAUGAGAAUUUCCAUUUAAAGCUCUGCUUCCCGCUCUCGCUUGCCUUCCUUCGAUUUGCCAAUGUACUAUAUUUUUAAGAAACUUACUUGUAAGGAAUCUCAGAGCGUAGGCUAAUUUGAUUGAAGAGUUUUGGUUCUGGACCCUUAUUAUUUGCUCUCUCUUGCCUUCGUCCGGUUAUCCGAGGUAUUAAAAAAAAAAGAAAAUUCUCGUAUAAGGAGUCUUGGAGCGUGGGGUAGCUAGAUUUAAGAAUUUUCGUUUUGGAGGCUCGCUCUAGCACGCUUUGUUCCCAUUUGCCGACGUACUCUCUUUUUAAAAAUACUCGUAUAAGGAGUCUCGGAGCGUAGGGUACCUAAAUUUUAGGUUUUUCGUUUUAGAUGAUCGGUCUAGCUCGCCUUCCUCCGGUUUGCUGACGUAUUGAAACAAAAAAAAUUCUCGUAUAAGUAGUCUCUGUGGGGUAGCUAUAUAUGAGAAUUUCCAUUUAAAGCUCUGCUUCCCGCUCUCGCUUGCCUUCCUUCGAUUUGCCAAUGUACUAUAUUUUUAAGAAACUUACUUGUCAGGAAUCUCAGAGCGUAGGCUAAUUUGAUUGAAGAGUUUUGGUUCUGGACCCUUAUUAUUUGCUCUCUCUUGCCUUCGUCCGGUUAUCCGAGGUAUUAAAAAAAAAAAGAAAAUUCUCGUAUAAGGAGUCUUGGAGCGUGGGGUAGCUAGAUUUAAGAAUUUUCGUUUUGGAGGCUCGCUCUAGCACGCUUUGUUCCCAUUUGCCGACAAACUUUCUUUUUAAAAAUACCCGGUAUAAGGAGUCUCAGAGCGCAGGGUAGCUUGAUUUUAGGUUUUUUGUUUUAGAUGAUCGGUCUAGCUCGCCUUCCUCCGGUUUGCUUACGUAUUGAAACAAAAAAAAUUCUCGUAUAAGUAGUCGCUGUGGGGUAGCUAGAUAUGAGAAUUUCCAUUUAAAGCUCUGCUUCCCGCUCUCGCUUGCCUUCCUUCGAUUUGCCAACGUACUAUAUUUUUAAGAAACUUACUUGUAAGGAAUCUCAGAGCGUAGGGUAAUUAGAUUGAAGAGUUUUUGUUUUGGAGCUUUAUUAUUUGCUCCCUCUUGCCUUCGACCGGUUAUCCGAUUUAUUAAAAAAAAAAGAAAAUUCUCGUAUAAGGAGUCUUGGAGCGUGGGGUAGCUAGAUUUAAGAAUUUUCGUUUUGGAGGCUCGCUCUAGCACGCUUUCCUCCAUUUGCCGACGUACUCUCUUUUUAAAAAUACUCGUAUAAGGAGUCUCGGAGCGUAGGGUACCUAAAUUUUAGGUUUUUUGUUUUAGAUGAUCGGUCUAGCUCGCCUUCCUCCGGUUUGCUGACGUAUUGAAACAAAAAAAAUUCUCGUAUAAGUAGUCUCUGUGGGGUAGCUAGAUAUGAGAAUUUCCAUUUAAAGCUCUGCUUCCCGCUCUCGCUUGCCUUCCUUCGAUUUUCCAACGUACUCUAUUUUUAAGAAACUUACUUGUAAGGAAUCUCGGAGCGUAGGGUAAUUAGAUUGAAGAGUUUUUGUUUUAGAGCUUUUUUAUUUGCUCUCUCUUGCCUUCGUUCGGUUAUCAGACCUAUUAAAAAAAAAAAGAAAAUUUUCGUAUAAGGAGUCUUGGAGCGUGGGGUAGCUAGAUUUAAGAAUUUUCGUUUUAGAGGCUCGCUCUAGCACGAGUAGAUAGGCUAUAGGCAUACUGGCUCAUGCGGAUUCUGGCUCACCUCCUCCUCUCUCAAGGUGAGCCAGAAUCCGAGCUGUGUAUUUUAAAUGGAGGGAUGGUCGAUCCCUCCCUUCCCUCCCCUAGCGACCGAGAAUUCUUCCCCCUCUCAAAGUGAGCCAGAAUCCGAGCCGUGUAUUUUAGAUGGAAGGAUUGUCGAUCCCUCCCUUCCCUCUCCUAGCGAUCGAGAAUUCACCCCCACUCUCAGAGUGAGCCAGUAACCGAAGUAUGUAUAAGUCCCAAUCUUCCCUUCUCCGUGUCCCGAAAAAAUUUAGAGGUUGGUUCAUGCUCCUCCUCCCUCGCGCAGGUAUGGAUGACGACCCUCGCACAGGUGUUUUCCUCUACUUUUACUCAUUGUAUGCGAGAAAUUUUCACUAUACAGACUUCGUGUAGAUAAUUCACGGAUACGUAUACAAACUAUCCCACGCAGAUGUAUACAGCUUCUAGUGUCAGCUGUUUUCUGACUGAGAAACGCUAAGCUAGAAAAUAUUUACCACCGACUGUGCGUGCAGGUACUAUCCCUUGCACUUUCCCAGAGACAACACUGCUGUUUAAAAAUCAUUUGCAGAGACAUCUGAUUUGGUGUGUAGGGAACGCACAGAUGUCUCUCGCAUCGAGAUACAGCAAUUUUCUUAGACGUCCUAAAUAAAUUCAGAGUGAGAUUUUCUCCAAGAUCUUUUCUUGUGAGAAGAGGAUAAUCUCGCAUUCUCACAGUCGAGAUUCGAAACAAAAGGGAGUGUCCACUAAGAGGAGGUGGACACUAGUUUUUAAAAAUUUGGUGAGGGAAAUUUUAGCACGAAUCGUAAGGCUUUCCACCCUCAAUAGAUGUGAGGAGGUGUGUUUUUCAAAAAUUAGGAGAGAAAACUUUUACACCAAUCACAGGACUUUAGAAAAAUGCUGUGGAAUGGGAAGGGGCUGUUUUCGCAAUAAAAAGCCCACCGUAGGCUGCGGUGAGUCAGUUCAAUUUUCGGUUUUGAAAUCGAAUAUCGAGUGAAAUGGCACCCAAGAGGAGUCCAGGAAGCUGCAGCAGCAGCAGCAGGAAUAGCAUCAGGACGAUGCAGGAUAGAAUUCGGUGGCUAAUUGCCAACGCUCCAACAUUGCUUAUGAUGUUGGAGCAUGUCUCCUGGGCCAUUGAGGCCAUCAAUUCACGUAAGUAAAUAAUUAUUUUGAUUUUUCAUAAUUAAAAAAUAAAAAAAUAAUUUUUUCAAAAUUUUUUUCAAUUUUUAGUGCCAUCGCUGCCACCACUUGCUGCCAUGCAGCAAUUAUAUGAAUGAAUUAGGCCAGGAAGCUCUUCGCCCAACCCUACCCGCCGAGAGUCCAAGCUCGUCGUCCAGCACUGCCCGCCGAGAGAGUCCAAGCUCGUCGUCCAGCACUGCCCGCCGAGAGAGUCCAAGCUCGUCGUCCAGCACUGCCCGCCGAGAGAGUCCAAGCUCGUCGUCCAGCACUGCCCGCCGAGAGAGUCCAAGCUCGUCGUCCAGCACUGCCCGCCGAGAGAGUCCAAGCUCGUCGUCCAGCACUGCCCGCCGAGAGAGUCCAAGCUCGUCGUCCAGCACUGCCCGCCGAGAGAGGCCAAGCUCUCAGCCCAGUACUGCCCGCCGAGAGGGGCCUUCAGCUGGACCGAGCACAUCAGCGAGUACUAGGCCCAGUCGUCCGGCGGAUAAGAGGACAAGCUCGAAGAGGUCGAGCUCCUCCUCGAGCUCUAGUUCGAGCUCCAGCACCUCAUCUAGUUGCGAGUCAUGCAAGUCGGUGAAGAGCAUCAGGGAUUUAAAACCAAUUCCGAAAAAAGCAAAAUUGGAUGUGAUUCAAAAACUGAGAAGCCGUCAAGUCGCGGGCUGCUUAGUUUGAAGAAACUAAGCAGUAGCAGUGGCAUGCAGCCCAUAACUCAACAGCAACAACAGCAGCAACCACGGCAGCAACAACAGCAGCAGCAGCAGCAACAACAACAGCAGCAACAACAGCAGCAGCAACAACAGCAGCAGCAACAUCAGCAGCGGCAGCAACAACAAAAGAAUGUUCCGCGAAUUAUCGAUAUGGAGAUUGUGAUCGACCCUAUCGAUGUAACAAAAUUAAAAAAAAAAA